rnacentral:snRNA from 1 species
GUGCCACAGGGUUUAAACACAUGUACUAAAAUUGGAAUGAUAGAGAUGAUCAGUAUGGACCCUACACAAUGAUGAUAUGAAAAUUGGUGAAGUAUUCCAUANNNNN